UUUUUUUAGUUAUAUUUUCUUUAUAGAAAUUUAAGGUUUUCUAGUUAAAAAAAGUUCAUGCAUUGCAUAGGAAAAAAACAAAGCUUUUACACUAUGGUAAAUAAAAAUGUAUGAAAUGAACAUCCUUGGGUAGUUUUGUAGUAUCCUUUGAGUAUUGACUAGAUUAGAAUUAAAUUUGUAACAGAGCAUUCCUUGGAACUUCCUAGUUCUUACUGUUGCUGUUUAGCUCUAUCCUGUCAGCAUGAUCAAUAUGUUUCUGUUUUACCUUGAAUUAAAGUCUUCCAAACA
rnacentral:lncRNA from 1 species